rnacentral:rRNA from 2 species
AAUCCAUAGGUUAAUGAGGCGAACCGGGGGAACUGAAACAUCUAAGUACCCCGAGGAAAAGAAAUCAACCGAGAUUCCCCCAGUAGCGGCGAGCGAACGGGGAGGAGCCCAGAGCCUGAAUCAGCAUGUGUGUUAGUGGAAGCGUCUGGAAAGGCGCGCGAUACAGGGUGACAGCCCCGUACACAAAAGCGCAUGUGCUGUGAGCUCGAUGAGUAGGGCGGGACACGUGGUAUCCUGUCUGAAUAUGGGGGGACCAUCCUCCAAGGCUAAAUACUCCUGACUGACCGAUAGUGAACCAGUACCGUGAGGGAAAGGCGAAAAGAACCCCGGCGAGGGGAGUGAAAAAGAACCUGAAACCGUGUACGUACAAGCAGUGGGAGCCCCACCACCAAAGCAUUUGCUGUACCGCGUUGACGGAGCGAAGCGACGUCAAACCGAUAAAACAGCAGUGUAAAGUGAGCCGCAGGGCGCUUUGC